UACGUAGGGCGCAAGCGUUGUCCGGAAUUAUUGGGCGUAAAGAGCUCGUAGGCGGCUUGUCACGUCGGGUGUGAAAGCCCGGGGCUUAACCCCGGGUCUGCAUUCGAUACGGGCUAGCUAGAGUGUGGUAGGGGAGAUCGGAAUUCCUGGUGUAGCGGUGAAAUGCGCAGAUAUCAGGAGGAACACCGGUGGCGAAGGCGGAUCUCUGGGCAACUACUGACGCUGAGGAGCGAAAGCGUGGGGAGCGAACAGG
rnacentral:rRNA from 1 species